GAGAGGAAAGGGGGAGGGAAAAAAAGAUGUCUCCAUACUGGCUGAUGUCAUGUGAUAUUACUCACCUAAUCAUUUUCCCAUGGCAAGAUUACUUGCAAGGCCGAGAUCCUGUAAUUAUUUGUUUGGCUGAACAUGUCACACAAGAUCUUUGUGGCACAUGCAUGAUGAGGGAGGCUGGGACUCAGCCAAGUGCAGAGCUCUGUUGGCAAGGGAACAAGUCACAUGAAACAGGGUGACAGCCAGGCAGUGCUCCCGUGGGAUCCUAGGACUCACAACCUGGCUGGCAGGCAUAACAACAGUGUAUGCCUCAUACCAGCUGCUUUGGAGGCUGAGAAGGGAAAACCAGUCUGGGCUAUGUGGUGCUAACUUGCCUCAAAACAAAGCCAACCAAAUAACAAAGUCCGGAGUCUGGGGGAUUGCAAGAUGUGAAAAGACCUCCACAUUUUCAAAAUGAGACUGAGAAUUUAGAUUGGGACCUCAGACACGUUAGGCAAGUGCCUCUGUCUCAGUUGAAGUACUCAGUGUAUGACUUCCGUCCUCACAUGGGUUAUGAAGGCUGCUGCAGAGCCAGCCAUCAACAGGUGGCGCUAUUUGGAAAGGUUGUAUGACCUGUGGGAGGUUGUAUGACCACAGUUCUCGACUCUACUUCCAAUCCUGUCUCUGCUCCUGGUUCUGCUAAAAUGUGAGGAGACCCAGCUACCUGCUCCUACAUCCGUGGAGCCUCCUUGGUCUUGUCAGUCCAUCUGUCCCCAACUCAUAACACAUAGACUUAUCCACAUGUUUCCCAGUUAGCCCCAGUCCCUGCCAUGCUCUGUUGCUUGCCACCGCCACGACUGUUGUCAAUGGCGAUAGAAAACUCAAUGUGUGAUGCUGAUAUAAUGGCCGCUUUUCUAUGCUCCUUAUGUACACCCCUGCCUGAUGCCUGUGAUGGUUUAGUGAUUGUCAAGUUGGCAGAUCUAGAAUUACCUUGGAGACAAGCCUAUCUGUGAGGGAUUUUCUACAUUAGGUGGGAAGACCCACCCUAAAUGUGGGUGACACCAUCCCAUGGCUGGGGUCCUGGACUAAAAUCGAGCUGAGCACCCGCAUUUCUCUCUCACUGCUUCUUGACUGUGGGUGCAGCGUGAGCAGCCACCUGGAACUCCCACCAUCCUGCCUGUGUCUUCUCAAACUGUGAGCCAGAAUAAACCUUUGCCUUCUUAAGUUAGCUUUUUCACCGGAA